GACUCUAAGCGGUGGAUCACUCGGGUCGACGAAGAACGCAGCCAGCUGCGAGACUUGGUGUGAAGACCAGGACACACUGAGCACUGAUUCUUUGAACGCACAUUGCGGCCUUGGGUCUUCCCUUGGCUUCGUCUGUCUGAGGGUCG
rnacentral:rRNA from 1 species